GACGAACGCUGGCGGCGUGCUUAACACAUGCAAGUCGAACGGAAAGGCCCUGCUUUUGUGGGGUGCUCGAGUGGCGAACGGGUGAGUAACACGUGAGUAACCUGCCCUUGACUUUGGGAUAACUUCAGGAAACUGGGGCUAAUAACGGAUAGGAGCUCCUGCUGCAUGGUGGGGGUUGGAAAGUUUGGGCGGUUGGGGAUGGACUCGCGGCUUAUCAGCUUGUUGGUGGGGUAGUGGCUUACCAAGGCUUUGACGGGUAGCCGGCCUGUGAGGGUGACCGGCCAGAUUGGGACUGAGAUACGGCCCAGACUCCUACGGGAGGCAGCAGUGGGGAAUAUUGCACAAUGGGCGGAAGCCUGAUGCAGCAACGCCGCGUGCGGGAUGACGGCCUUCGGGUUGUAAACCGCUUUCGCCUGUGACGAAGCGUGAGUGACGGUAAUGGGUAAAGAAGCACCGGCUAACUACGUG
rnacentral:rRNA from 1 species